GACGAACGCUGGCGGCGUGCCUAAUACAUGCAAGUCGAACGCAGUGGGGAUGGGUGAGUAACACGUGGGUAACCUCACAUCAGAGGGGAUAACCCUUGGAUACAGGUGCUAAACCGACACUGAUGGAUGGACCCGCGGUGCAUUAGCUAGUUGGUGAGGUAACGGCUCACCACGGCCCCGAUGCAUAGCCGACCUGAGAGGGUGAUCGGACACCCUGGGACUGAGACACGGCCCAGACUCCUACGGGAGGCAGCAGUAGGGAAUCUUCGGCACUGGGCGAAAGUCUGACCCAGCAACGCCGCGUGAAUGAAGAAGGUUUUCGGAUCGUAAAACUCUGUUGUUAGGGAAGCGGUAUCUAACCAGGAAGCCCCGGCUAACUACGUGCCAGCAGCCGCGGUAAUAC
rnacentral:rRNA from 1 species